AGUGGCGGACGGGUGAGUAACGCGUGGGCAACCUGCCCCAUACAGGGGGAUAACAGCCGGAAACGGCUGCUAAAACCGCAUAAGCGCACAAGGGCCGCAUGGCCUGGUGUGAAGAACUCCGGUGGUAUGGGAUGGGCCCGCGUCUGAUUAGCUAGUUGGCGGGGGAGAGGCCCACCAAGGCGACGAUCAGUAGCCGACCUGAGAGGGUGGCCGGCCACAUUGGGACUGAGACACGGCCCAAACUCCUACGGAAGGCAGCAG
rnacentral:rRNA from 1 species